rnacentral:rRNA from 1 species
UACGGGGGGGCAAGCGGUUGUUCGGAAUUACUGGGCGUAAAGGGCUCGUAGGCGGCCAACUAAGUCGGACGUGAAAUCCCCAGGCUCAACCUGGGAACUGCAUCCGAUACUGGAUGGCUUGAAUUCGGGAGAGGGAUGCAGAAUUCCAGGUGUAGCGGUGAAAUGCGCAGAUAUCAGGAGGAACACCUAUGGCGAAGGCAGCUCGCUGGGACGGUACUGACGCUGAGGCGCGAAAGCGUGGGGAGCGAACAGG